UUAUAGUGUAGUGUGUAUCUGUGUGUUAACAGUGUUUGUGUGUCUCAGUGUUGACAGACAGCUCUUACUGAAGCUGCUUCAUUGCUGCAGUUCAUCUGAUGACCAACAGGAGGCAGCAAAUCUUCUGCUCUCUGCUCUUCAGUACAGACUGGAUUUCUCCUCCUGCUUUUCUCUGGACCUCACGGUCACAGAGGAAAUUGAAAAUAAUUUUACUCUCACCAUUGAUGACUGUAGAAUAAUCUCAUCUGUGCUCCAAAAACCAAAAAGUGUUAUAAAGUUGGUUUUAGAGGACUGUGAGGUCUCUGAUUCGGCAUUGAAACAAAUUAUUCCAGUUCUGUCUCAGGUUCAGCUCAGCUGUGGUAAAGCUCUUCUGCUGCAGUUUAUAGCUUGUAUUACUGAAGAUACAGAGAAAGGAUCUUUGAGGUGGGUUCAGGCUCUUUGUCAAGCUUUAGGAGGUGAGGUGGACCUCAGUCACACUCAGAUGGAUCAGAGAUGUUGUGAACAGCUGUCAGUGUUUCUGGAAUAUUCUGAUGGAUUGACAGAACUGGAUCUCAGUCACUGCAGACUCACUGAUCAAUACAUGAAUCCACUCUUACCACACCUGCACAAGACUCAAACUCUAGAUCUGAGUCACAACAAUAUUACUGAUGAACUAGCAAAGAAAAUACACAGCAUUGUUUCCACUCACGACAAUAUUCAGACAGUACGACUCUUUGGAAACAAAAUUAGAGACAAAAAGCAGUUUACCAGAAACAAGCGAUUUGAAAUCUGGUAAAGACACCGGAGUGUAACUCGACUUGCCAUCAAGAGAAUGGAAAUGAACAAUUAAAGGAACAGUAUGUAAGAAAUGUUUAGCAAUUAAUCAUAAAAUGGUCCUGAUAUGUCACUAGACAUUAAGAAAUCAUUUUCAUUUCAAAUACUUAUAACACUGACAACAGUGGUCCGGCCAGGAUAUUGUCAUUUAAAAAGUGGAGUUGCAGCCCUCAACUGAUGUUUAUGUUGUCAUUUUGCCACCAGUUGUGUGAUUGCAGUACCAGUUUUAGCCACAAGUUUUGUGAUUGCAGUACCAGUUUUGGCCACAAUCCUACAUACUGUUCCUUUAAACUUUUACCUCUGCACGAAACCUGAGUGAUGUAUCAACUGAAUAUUAAAGCUGCAAUCUGCAACUUUGUUUUGGUUCAAAUUAAACGGUGUUAUUAAGGAAGUACAAGAGGUGGUGAUGGCGCAGUGGAGAAGACAAACGCCUUCGGUGUGAAAGACUCGGGUUCGAAUCCACUGUGACACACCAUUGUGUCCCUGAGCAAGACACUUAACCCCUAGUUGCUCCAGAGGCGUGCGACCUCUGACAUAUAUAGCAAUUGUACGUCGCUUUGGAUAAAAGCGUCAGCUAAAUGAAUAAGUAAGAUAAGUAAGUAAGAAAUGAUAAAAGGUCUCUUUAUCUUAAUCCAAUUUAUAAUGUAAAUAUUUUAAUUAUUUAUUAAAUAGUUUGCGUCCUUUGCCUUCAGCCCAUUAAAAGAUGUGUAAAGUAACCUGAUAUUUUAUGUUUCAAACAUAGAUGGGGAUUGAAAGACAGAUUUUAUAUUUUAAAUGACAGAACUUCUAAAUUUGUACAAAGCCAAAUAAUAUUUCUUUAAGUAUGAAGUCAAUGUAUGUAAUAAUAGCUUUGAAAUAAAAUGAACUUUCACAUAAAUCCAUGUGGUUUUGUUCUGACAUUUUGAAAAUGAGGAAAUUAUGAUCAUACUAAUGCAAUUUUAAGAUCUUUAGAUUUAUGUAACUGGUAUGUUUCUCUUUUGUCCAUUCUUCUCAAUAAAGAUCCUGGGAAAAAAGGAAAUGAGAAAUAAUAAAUAACAAGGACAAUAAAAUGUAAAUAAAUAUAAAAUCACCCUAAACCAGGAAAAAUAAUAUGAUACCAUAAAGUCAAUACACCGAAUAAGAAAAACAGUGUAAGAUUAAACAGUAACAAUAAAAAUCAUAGUAUGAUAUGUUGUGUAUAAUAUUGUGCAGACUUGUAAUAAAGAGCCAAUGUUGUAUUUAAACUAACAAUGCUUAUCAAACCAAUACAGUAUGUGAUGUGUGUAUGAUAGUACAGUUGCUAAAGUUGCAGUUGAGUAGAGAGCAUGAUGAGCUAAGUGGAAGUGAUGGUGUGUGAUGGCUAUUUAUCAAUCCAAAACUUCAUGAGGGUGAAAAAUGUGUGUGUGUGAGGAGAACAUUCCUUGUGUAACACGUUUAUGGAGAUUAAGGAUAGCUGUUCAAUGUUAGGCCCAAAAAAAUGACGGAGAACUCACAAACGCAUCACUCAAAACGAUGUACAUGUGGUGUUAAAAACUAAAGCAUUUCCCCUUUCGCGCAUGUGCACAUUCACCUAGUAUACACAACAACAAAGCAAAGGCACAUUGCUCUUAAAGGGGCCACACCGUUCUUAAAGGGGUAGCACCACUCCACUCGUUACACUUGGUUGACCAGUUGCACUGUGAGAAAAUAACCACCCAUUGGCCCAAUAGAAGAGUCAAAUCAGUGCGGCGAAAGCUCUCAGCGCAUUCCGUCUUAUUCGUAGCUUAUUGAUGAAUGACUUUCCUUGUGCAUCACGUUGAUGGUCGAGCGCGGAUUCACCGAUUACUAACAGAGGCAAUGACACUUGAAUGAAUUGUUGGGUGGACACACAAUAUUUUCUUGGGACACUUUAGCCUGCGUUAUCACAAUUGCACUCUUACCGCUGUCGGGUAUCUGAACAUCAUUGUGGACCAAGUGAACCCAUUCAUAGCAACUGUGUCCUCUGCCUGUGAUGGCCAUAACCAACAGAAUAAUACGCCAUGCCACACUGCAAGAAUCAUCAAGGAGUGGUUCAAGGAUCAUGAUGGUAAUUUUCUGUUUAUCCCUUGGCCUCCAAAUUUACCUGACAUGAACCAAAUUGAAUAUUAGUGGUUCAACUUGGAAAAACGGGUUUGUGCUACAUCACCACCACCCUGCAAUAUACUGUAUACAAUUGAUAUUAUGGUACCAGAUAUCCCAGGAAAUAUCGCUACCUUGUCAAAUCAAUGCCUCGCUUCAUAGCUACUGUUUUGCAGGCCCAUGUUAUAUUAGGCAGGUGGUCAUAACGUAAUGGCUUAUCGGCAUAUAUUGGUUUGGAAAGUAUAUUGAUAUAUCAUAAAACUCAGUAUUGCUGAACCCUAAAAGAGAAUGACUCCGUGUCACAUUUAGUGUAAUUAAAGUAAAAAAUUGGCAAAAAUGCUUUUCUUAUGCAAAAUUUUCCCUUAUUUGACAGGUGGCUUGAACCCAAAGAUUGCGAUGUGGGGAGAUUUUAAACAAGCACUAUCGAGAGCAGAUGAGGGGCUACAGAAAUAGACAUAGGUGUCAUUUACACUUUUUGAAAUGGGUGAUUUUGUCCCCACCACUUUUUGAAAGCAUUUGGUUAAAAUAUUCUAAAAAAAGCGAACCAAGAAAUGUUAAACGUUUAUUUGCACAAAAUAAAACAUGCAAUGCAGUUUAGAUACAGAAAGAAACAAUGUACAUUAUCCAAAAAAAUUAACUUAAACAAAAUAAACUAUUACGCCAAAUAUGGGGCUAUGAACUCUAACUUAAGUGUGUGUUUAACUUUUUUAUUGUUUAAUGUUUUUAAUGCACUUGAUUUUUAAUAAUAGAGAAUACAUUUUAUGCAGAGAGUGUGGAAAUGACUGUUCUUGCUCUGACAAUGUACAAGAAUUGAGGCACCCGUGUCCGAAUUCACUCACUUGUUUUCAUUCAUUCAGUCAAGUGGACUAUAUUAGCAAUACUGAUGGAGGGAGUAGUAAAUGUGUUUGGAGCUAUUUCAUACACAACCUAACCGAAGGGCUUCUUCUCUGACAGAGAAAACGUUACAAAUGCUUUAUUGGCUUUAUACUUUUUGGAUUUAGUUUUAAGGAUCAUUCAUCAGACAACAGAACUGUAGGAAAACUAACGUACAUUGUGAUAUGCGGUGCUGCGCAACAAGACACAAAACGAAAGUAAAAGUUAAAAGUAUAAUGUAAAUAAUGCGACAAGUUUCACUUUCACUUUUAAACGUGUUUGGUUGUCAUAUCGUUUGGAUAUUAGAACAGUGUAUAUUUUACGUUGUAUUUUUACCUUGUAUUUCCAUUGCAAGUAUAUUUAUCCAAGUCCAACACUUGAAGCGUGCGUCGAGAACAGACUUUAGGAUUUAGGUUAAGUGUGUUAACUGUUAGUGUGGAUAUGGACACACAAGACUCAGAAGAGGACUCGGGGAAGAUGGAACGUGAACACACACUUUCAGCCACACCGCUGACAGAGGAUCAUUACAGAUGUUCAGUGUGUACAGACGUCUUCAAGAAUCCAGUUUCUAUUCCCUGUGGACACAGUUACUGCAAACACUGCAUUGAGAUCUACUGGAGCAAACCAACUCAAGCUGAAUGUUACGCUUGUCCUCAGUGCAGAAAGAGGUUCAGAGAUCGGCCUGUGUUAAAUGUGAACAUUGCUUUAGCUAAACUGAUAGAAGAGCGGCAGCGGGCUGGGUUUAGUCCUCCUCUUCCUGAUCACUGCUAUGCUAGACCUAAA